AUUGAACGCUGGCGGCAUGCCUUACACAUGCAAGUCGAACGGCAGCACGGGGCAACCUGGUGGCGAGUGGCGAACGGGUGAGUAAUGCAUCGGAACGUGCCAUUGAGUGGGGGAUAACGUAGCGAAAGUUGCGCUAAUACCGCAUAUUCUGUGAGCAGGAAAGCAGGGACCGCAAGGCCUUGCGCUCUUUGAGCGGCCGAUGUCAGAUUAGCUAGUUGGUGAGGUAACGGCUUACCAAGGCGACGAUCUGUAGCGGGUCUGAGAGGAUGAUCCGCCACACUGGAACUGAGACACGGUCCAGACUCCUACGGGAGGCAGCAGUGGGGAAUUUUGGACAAUGGGCGCAAGCCUGAUCCAGCCAUGCCGCGUGAGUGAAGAAGGCCUUC
rnacentral:rRNA from 1 species